ACAAAACCCCAAAACAACACCACAUCAACAAAAAAAAAACAAAACACCAUACCUACGGUGAAGCCCGACGGUGGCAGCGUCAUGCUUUAGGGCUGCUUUUCGUCAGCCAGAACUCUGGGUUUCAUCAGGGUGGAGGGAAUCUUGAAUAGCUACAAAUACCGGAUGAAAACUUUGUCUGCUAGUAAACCGAACAACAACCAGCAGGACAAUAACCCGAAGCAUACAUCCGAAUCAACAAAGGAGCCAGAGCCCAGACCCGAAUCCAACUAAAAAUCUGUGGGGUGACCUGAAGCGGGCUGUUCGCAGGACACGCCCUCACAGACUCUUACCCAAAAGGACUGAGCGGUGUAAUAAAAUCAAAACAAAAGUAUUAGUUUAGGGGUGUGCACACUUUUUUUUUCUCUCUAAGAAGUUUCUGAUUGUUCUUCACUUUAUAUGUAUUCUCUCUCUCUCUCUAUGCAAUCUCAUUAAAGGUGGGAAAAGAGGUGACAUGAUUUAUCUUAGUGUCACUUAUCUUAGUAUCAAACCUGCCAUUUUUAACAGGGACGCCUUUUUAUUAUAUCCGUUGUACUGGUUUGUUUCCGGGAGAUGGGGGAAACACUAUAUCUAAAAAAAAGGUCAUAUUUUUAGGGAAAAUCUCGGAAUAUCUAAAAAAAUGUCAACAUUUAAAAUAUUCGAUUUUUUUUUUUUUUUUUUUUUUAAGCCUAAUUUGCUCCACUGAUCACAAAAUGCAGAAGUUGGAAAGUUUGCCAGUGAAGAUCUUAAUAAUAAAACAACAGCCAUGUAAGCAGUCGGUUAUAAAAAUGGCACAUUUAUUGCUACAGAAUGGUCAUGUACAUGACUUCAUUGAUUAACUACAAGAUGAAAACCGACAGGCAAAUGGCCGAGGAUGAGCUGGCUCAAGAGAAAACUCCAGCACACAAUCCGUUUACACACUGAUACUAGUCUUAAAACAAGGAACAACAAUAACAAUAACAAUGACAGUAAUAAUUAUAAUAUAAUAAACAUAAUUCAAAUUGAAAAAAAAAAAAAACGUAAGAAAUUAAAAGAAUAUAAACAAGAACACAACAAAAAAAAAUUACAUUAAAAAAAAAAAGAUAAUAAAAGGCUUGAGGCACACAGCCACACGUUUGGAAAAAAAGGUGUAACUGUUUUAUAGUUUUAAUGUUUUUGAAACCACUGCUCUGGAGGAUUUAUUUAUUUUUUUUUUUGUCCACGGUAUGAACAAUAAAAUAAAUAGUUUUGCCAGUAAAAGCCGUAACAGCUCUUUUCCAACGUUUUACAUCGUGAUAUGUUUGAAGAAUCCCCAACCAUUUGCACAUAUUGGAAAUAAAAGAAAUGAAAAAAAAAAAAAAACAAAAAAAAAAAAAACCAAACAUUAUAAAUAUUUACUGUUCCUUUUUCUUUUUUUUUUUUUCCUAAAAAACUGGGAAUGUUGAAAAGGAGAGAAGAUUUUUUUCCCCCAUAGCCAAUGCACAUGUAAGGUCAUUAUAUCAAAAAAAAAAGAAAAAGAAGAAGGAGAAGAAGGAAACAUACGGGAUCAUGGAGAGGAAUGAACAAAAUAAGGUGACUCAUCAGUAAUCUGAUUGAUUGAUUGAUCGAUCUGGUCAGAUUUGAUUGUUUAACAGACUUUCAGGAGAGGAAAUGAUGUCGUCAAAGGAAGUGGUCGCUCAUCAUUUUCAUAAAGUCU
ensembl:lncRNA